rnacentral:rRNA from 1 species
AUUGAACGCUGGCGGCAGGCCUAACACAUGCAAGUCGAGCGGAGCGGCGGACGGGUGAGUAAUGUAUGGGGAUCUGCCCGAUAGAGGGGGAUAACUACUCGAAAGAGUGGCUAAUACCGAAUAUUAUUGGAGCGGCCGAUAUCGGAGUAGCUAGUGGGUGGGGUAAAGGCUCACCAAGGCAACGAUCCGUAGCUGGUUUGGGAGGACGACCAGCCACACUGGGACUGAGACACGGCCCAGACUCCUACGGGAGGCAGCAGUGGGGAAUUUUGGACAAUGGGGGAAACCCUGAUCGAGCCAUCCCGCGUGUAUGAUGAAGGCCUUCGGGUUGUAAAGUACUUUUGGCAGAGAAGCGGUAUCUGCAGAAUAAGCACCGGCUAACUACGUGCCAGCCGCCGCGGUAAUUC